CUCGCAUCCCCCUCGACCCCUGAGUCCUUUUCCGGUGUCCAAACAGCUGUGGUCCCUACGUGGUGAUCCUUUAAAAAAAAAAAAAAAAAAAAGAUACUGAGAGCAAAAAGAAUUUUUGUUACACAUCUAAAAGUUAAAGUUCGGCUCUGGCUUCUCUGAACUCAGCUUCCCUAAUAGAGGAAACCUGAGGAAGACAGGUGGUUUGAAAACCAUGGCCCAGGUGCCAUUGACAUUCAGUGAUGUUGCCAUAGACUUUUCUCAGGAGGAGUGGGAAUGCCUAAAUUCUGAUCAGAGGGAUUUGUACAGAGAUGUGAUGUUGGAGAAUUAUACUAACUUGGUCUCACUGGUGACUCUCCACAAGGUACUUGGAGUUCCAACCCAGACUGAGUGGAAGGAGGCAUUCAUCUGAGGCCUCACAAAGCCCAUACAGUGAAAGACUCAUCAUCUGCUGCAGUAGUCUUCAAACUCGGUCUCAGAACCCCUUAUACUCUUAAUUAUUGGUGAAUUCUUUGCUUGCUCAUGCAUAAGUGUAUUUGCAAUACAAAAUAUACAAGGUUAGUAUUUUUGUGUAAUGGUGAUUUUAUGACAUCUUAGGUGACUUAUUAAAGGGUAGAGGAGUACUGUGGGAUAGGUCUGUGGGAAGUAAUUUUAAUGAUGUUUAACUGGGCAUAGAUAAACUGUAGUAACUAUUGCUGCUUUACUUAACGAUGUUUUAUUUCUUUGUAUACAUGAACAUUUGGGUAUAAGAACUGUGUGUACAUCCAAAAGGAAGUCACAGAAUUUCAACUGACCAAUCUAAUCUUGCAGCUACCUUGAGAUGGCCAAAUAUAAACUAAAUGCAAUGCACUUUUGUAUAGCUUAGCAUCAAUAGAUAGUUCAGUAAACUUGAAUUUAGUUCAACCAAUCUGAACUGCCAUGCAAGAGUUUAUAUUACAAUUACUUGGUAAGGAAGGCUUAACAACAUUAGUAAAUGAAAAGAGAUUUAACUACUUUUUAAAUGUUAAAAACAAAAACAAAAACCGGGGCACCUGGAUGCCUCAGUCGGUUAAGCAUCCGACUUCCACUCAGGUCAUGAUCUCACAGUUCAUGAGUUUGAGUUCUGCAUCAGAUGAGAAUGAGCCCCACUUCCGGCACCGUACUGACAGUGCAGAGCCUGCACGGGAUUUUCUCUCUCUCCCUCCCUCUCUCUCCCCCCCACCCAUUUGCUCCCCCCACCUCAAAAAAAUAAAAUAAAAACACUUAAAAAUAAAUAAAUGUUAAAAAAAAAUCACUGAGGGCUCAAAAGAGCUUUUGUUUGUGCAAGUUAGAUUUUCCAAUAUUUACCAUACUAGAAAUUAAAACGGAAAAAUUAAAGAUAUUUAUUAAUUCACUUGAAAAUAAUGAAUCAUUCUCUGUCAGUACAAUAAAUUUAUAAAAGUUACAUUUUCUAAAACAAAAAAAUAAGUAUUAUCUUAAUUUUUUGUGACUCUCUUUAAUAUAUGGCUUAACAGAAGUCAACUGGAUUCUCGUAUCUGCUUCUGCAUUCACUCUAUGGCAAUAUGCUAUUGUGACUGAAGUAUACGAAGGAAAUCUAGCCUCCCACAUAUAUGCAACUGUUAUUCUUUGAUACUGUGGGUGUGUUACUAUUUGAUGCUACAGUAAAACUUGAGAAGGGAUAGUUUCAUAAAGGUUAGUUGCAAGGUGAAAUAUGCAAAUAUACCCAUGAACUUUUCAUAUUAAGUUACCUUAAAAUCCACUGCACUUUGAAUGAUCUUUUAUCCAGGCAUAAUUUUGUAAUAUUGUGCACUGGUCAUGUGAAAAAUGGUGGCUCGUGGAGUUAUGCAGAUCUUCGAAAUGUUCACACAUCUCAUUACAUAAUAUUUAAAAAAUCAUGUGUUAAUAUUACUUUCUAUCUCAUCAGAAAAAUGUUCAUGUAUUGGGAAGUUGUAAAAGCUCAAAAUGGUAGAUGUAAGUUUGACACAAUUCUAAGUUUUACUUCAAAGUCUGAAUUCUAUCACUGGCAAAAAAUACUGUUACUUGUCUUUCAAGUGGCGGGCUCAACUUGUGAGAAAAUUUUUCUAACUACCUAAGUCUCAAUAAUAGUGUAAUAGUUCAUCUGUUAGGCAUUCUUUCAAAAACAAAGUGGUGUCCCAUGAAACGAACAGCCAGUUUAACUCACAAUUCAAACACAUGCACCAGUGGUUUUCCUCAAGGCACGCACCACACUUGGGUAUACAGCAGAAGAGUUUAAUGAAUAUUUCCCAUUUCUCCACAAAGGAUAUUUUUUAAAUGCAUAUUCGAGGGUCAAGAAUACAGGCUCAUGAGCCAGACUUCCUUACAGGCUCAAUUGCUUCAACCUUCUCCCACCAGCUGUGUGACCCCGGGAAGUCACUUACACUAUAUGUCUCUGUAUUCUCAUCCAUUAAAAGGGGAUAAAAACAAUACUUGCCUCAUAGGGAUGUUGUGGAAGUUAAUUAAGCUAAUGUACUUGCUCUGCUUAGAACACAGCCUGGUUUGGGGCGCCUGGGUGGCUCAGUCAGUCGAGCAGCUGACUCUUGAUUUUGGCUCAGGUCAUAAUCUCAACAGUUUGUGGGAUCGAGCCCCACGUCAGGCUCUGCACUGACAGCAUGGAGCCUCCUUGGGAUUCUCUCCCCCUCUCUCUCUGUCCCUCCCGAGCUCUCAUAUGCACAUGUGCUCUCUCUCUCUCUCAAAAUAAAUAAACUUAAAAAAGAGAAAACAACACAGCCUGGCAUAUGGUUGGCACAGUGUUAAGUGUUAAUAUUGUCAGAGUUACUAUUGUUAUUUUGCUAACAGGAAAAGAAGUUUCAGGAGACAUUUUUAGGAUUGAAUUCUGUGUAGAGUUUAACUUUGUAAAAUACAAGGUUCACAGAUCGCAACGUUCAGCCUCCAACAUGUUGAAAGGAAUGUGUUCACUUGGUGUGAAAUGAAUUAUUUAUUCAAUCCUCCACUGCAUAAAGUGAAGGGGCUCUUUUGAAAGUCGGAGUACAUCAGGACCCUGUUUCUAGCUGCACUCUCUGCAUGUGGGUCAAAAACUAACAAAGAGCAGUGCUUCUUUGAGGUGUAUAAAACUCACCCAGGGAUCUUGUGUAAACGUAGACUCUGUUCGGCAUGUCUGGGAUAGGACCUGGCAACUGUAUUUCUUUUUUUAAUGCUUCAUGCAUUAAUUCAUUCACUUAUAUAUGUAAGUGAAGAAUCACUAAAUUCUAUUCCUGAAACCACUAUGACACUAUAAGUUAACUAACUAGAAUUUAAAUAUUAAUUUGGGGAAAAAAAAAAAAAAGACAAGCUGGUAGAAGCAGCUGAUGUUAGGUAUGUGUGUAAUAUUUAACAAUAAAAAACCUAACACCGGGGCACCUCGGUAGCUCAGUUGGUUGAGCGUCCAACUCUUGAUUUCCAUUCAGUGAGAUCAAGCCUCACGUCUCAAACCCCUACUUGAGAUUCUCCCUCUCCCCUCCCUCUCUUUGCCCUUCCCCUGCUUGCUCACAUACUCUCUUUCAAAAAUAAAUAAAUGAACUUAAAAAAAAAAAAAAAAGCUAAAACCCCAGUAAACCAAAUAAAGGCUUCUAAUCACCCAGAAAACAAUCCACAUUCCUCCCCCAAACCAACAAAACUGCCUACCGUUUGGGCCCUGCCUAUCUCCUUCACUAACUUCUUGGUAUCCUCUCCUUCACUAACUCUGUUCUGGUCUUCCUAUGGUUCCUCAAACAUUAACAAUCACAUUCUGAGGAGCAAGCACACAGAUAAUCGUUAGACACGUUGAAGUUAAACACAGUAUGAAACCUGGUUUCUUUGACAAUGGUUAUGAACUGAAUGCCCCAUAAUGCAAAUCCAGCUCCUUGUAAAGAAGAGAGACCACUACAGGAAAAGCCAGAGGAAGGUGUGAAGGUAUGGGACGAUCAAGGAGCUUGCUGAACCCAUUUCUAAUCCAACAAAUAUUAAGUCAUCCCUUUGAGAACAGGGAGAAGAAAUUGACCUGGUUUCUUCAAAGACAGCCCUAUAAUUCCCACAGGGAAAGCCAAUGGUGCAGAGAAGAUUCUAAAGUAUUUCAGGCAGAUGACCUUACCCAAUGAGACCAAGUUACUAUAGUUCUCCAACAUCACAUCCACGUACAAGUCCCUCUGAGCAGGGUCCAGGCACUCCCACUCCUCCUGAGAGAAGUCGAUGGCCACAUCCCUGAAAGUCACCAAGCCCUAAAACCAAAAACCCACACAUUACUUGGGAAAUUAAAGAAAUUUAAGAAUUUAAGAAAAUAUUUCUAAGAGGGGGAAAAAGGAUUACGAAGGAUAAACCGCAAGAAGAGGAAAAUGUAGCAACCAAGUAGGCUGGAGGCCUGUGAUACAUAGAGGUAGAGAAAAGUAAAGAAAUUAGUAAACUAAAGCAGAGUGUUACACAUUCUAGAAGAAUCCUGUUACAGCAGAAAAAAUUUCUUGGAUAUUGUGAGAUAGGUAACUAAGCUAUCUAGACUUGUCUGGUAAUAUAUAAAAUAAUCCCAGUUUCUCUUCUAUUAAAUAAAAGUGGUGUUGGGCGGGGGAGGUUGUUUAUGAGUAUGUAAACACACAUACAACCUGCUAUGUGCCUGCCUCGUAAAUUCUUUAUAAACGUAAACUGCUACACCAUCUUUUCCCUUUCAGGCUUUAAGGAACAGAAAACACAAAUAAGAAAAUUUUUUUCCCAAAUGCACUAUAAAAUCUCUAUUUCAGAAAAAUGACUUCCAUUAAAUUACAGAUUAUCAUUAAGCCUCAAGUAAACCAUUCCAUUAGAUUACAAUGUAAGCAUUUUUUUCUUACACAUCUUACAAAUACAUGUUUUUAUGAGCUGCAUUCAGUUCAUCAUAUAGGUAUAUGAAAUUAGUAUCUCCAUUAUAUUUAUACAUUUAGGUUGAACAAAAUUUCCAAAGACUUUCUUAAUUCUAGAAAUCUACUAUCAUCCAGUAUUUAGAAAUCUCAGUCACCUUCUUACUUGUUACCAUCAACCACACCUCACCUGACACCCUCCUCAUUCCCAAGCAGGAGAUUGCCAAUAGAGCACAUCAUAUAUGACACAGGUGUCACCAAGAGCUGUGCAUCCUGGUCAAUAACUAAAUGGACUCUGACACUGGUGUUCAUUGAUUGGGGAACCACACUUUCCCUGGAAAGACCCACUCACAAGCCCCUGCAUCCAAAAAGCCUUGCAAAGCCUCACAGAGACUGAGGCUGAGCCCAAGAAAUCCCGAAUUCCAUCUUAUCUCUGUGGGAGACUCAGGUCCAUGAAGAAGUUCCAAGUUUGCCUGUAUGACCAAAUGGGACCCUCAUCACUGACUCAUCACACCACAGACCUGAGAUGGGAAUAAGGAAUUCUGAUAAGGGAAAUGGCGCAGCCCUAGUGGACCAAAGACAGAAGUGAUUACGAAGGGCACCACCCAAGACAGCCUACCAUGGA